rnacentral:lncRNA from 1 species
UAGAUUUUAAAGGUUCAAGCUAUUAAAAAAAUAACAACUAAUUUAUCUUAAAGUUACAGACACAAUGCCUAUAGAUCUCAAUUGUGAUUUGAUCCAAUCCAAUCUUCGUCGCGUAGACAGAAUGUUGUUCUAUUCACCGACAUUAACUACAGGUGCUCGGUAUGUAUCCAAUGUGAAUUUCAUGAGUUAUAUUUAAAAAUUGAAUAAAAAUAUAUGGAUAUUAUUAAUAGUAUCAUAAAAUUAUUAUAUAGUACGUGCUUGUUUAAUAGAAAAUUUUUUGUUGUUUUCUUCUAAAAUAACUAUUUUAUCCUUUUUCGUGUAACACAAUCUUUCAUUUCAAUAUAAUUAUAUUGGCUAAUAUGAUCAUAAGUUAGAAUUUUUUUCAACACUAAGCGCUAAUUGAAAUACAAAAAAAAGUUUAUAUAGACUUGUGCGUAGAAAUAAAAAUUUGGAAACCAAAUUGGUAUAUGAGAUACUGUAAGAUAUGAAUCCCUAGGAUCUAAAAGGUAAAAGACACCUAGAGGGGGGUGAAUAGGUGUAAACGGCAACAAUCUCGAAACUCGAUGCAAAUUUAAAAUAGAAUGCGGAAAAAUAAAAUCAGCACACCGAGAAUUAACGUGGGAAAACUCCAAACCGGAGAGAAAAAACCCACGGGACCGACCACACAAAGAAAUCCACUAAGAAAACAUGAGUACAAGUGAUUUAUCAAAAAUACAAGACUCGAAAUACCCAAUUCUCGUUGUAGAAUAUCUUUGCCAGUCCUCGAUCGCUUGAAAUCCUCCAACCGAUCACACUGCAAAUCCUUGCAGCCACACACGCCUCGAUUCCACGAAACGCCCACCGAAUCCACGGUCUUCACGCGAGAUCCACGCGCUAACGCUCCAUCCGAAGCUCGUAGAGAUUUAACAAUUUAUGGUGAUUUAAACUCUUUGAAAGCACAUAUGAUAUGAGGAGAAAUCCAAAUCAAAACAUCACCAAUUUGAUCCUUAAGAAAGUUUGAAUCAAAAACUGAAGAAUCAAACCGGUGAUCUAAAACUUGAUCUUGAGAAUCAUGGAUCAAAAACUCAAAUCAAGCCGUUAGGGUUUCUAAAAGAUUAUCUUGCUCAACUCAGGUCAUAUGGAGAUCCUCAUAUCAUAUUUAUAGGUUUAGAAGACUUCUAGAUAGACUAGGAUUCCAAAAACUCAAAUUUAAAAACAGACGACGGUCUCAGGGUCCGGUCCUCUCGAGGAGACCGGUCCUUGGGGGACCGGUCCUCCAAGGUGAGGUCCGGUCUUACGCUGCGUAGAUGUCAAAAUAUGCGUACGGGAACCGGUCCUCAAUUUAGAGACCGGUCCCUCCCUGCACAACAAGGAAAACCACUUACGGGGACCGGUCCUCAAGACCAGAGACCGGUCUCCCAAAACUUCUACGCAGAGAAGCUUGAUGGGUCCGGUCCCUCUGAUCAAGGACCGGUCCCCGACCCCUGAUUUUCUUCAGAAAACUUUUGAAUAAAUGAAAAGAAAAACAAGUCUUCUAAACAUCUUUUAAUAAUGAAAACUUCACCACAAAUUGUUUCUAAUCAUACCUGAGUUCUCAAGGGUCUUUGAUCACAAAACUUCAAUUCUUUUCGUCAAUCUUCAUCUUCUAAUUCUUCGAGACUCUAUCCAAACCCUUCACGAAAUCCGCCAACUUAUAAAAUCCUUAACAGAUACCACAGCUUCAUUUGAAUAAGUCACCCAAAAGAUAUAAAUACUAACUUAGCAAACCAUAUAUACCGACACGAUGGGGUCAACAAGGACCUCGUCAUAGGGAUGAUGAUGUGAUAUACGUGCGUAGUAAUCAUAAGCAUCUCUCUCGAUACAACACGCGCGCAAAACCCAUGAUUCUAACAUUGUAAAAACCUCUCGCAAGCUUACGUGCGGACCAAGUUCCAAACUCAUUUGGGCCGUUACGAUCCUACGGUCAAAACCCAAGAGUCCCCUUCUCCACAUUUUACUCGUCACGUGGGUCCCACCAUUUUUCUUCCCACAUCCCCAUUCUAGGGUUUGAGCGUUCGGCCCAAUUCCAGUGGUGAUAUUGGUGAUAUUUCUACAUGCGUUGAAAACCGGCGCAAACCGAUUAGAAACAACACAGAACAAAACGAACGAAGCCUCUCUCUCUCUCUCUCUCUCUCUCUCUCUCCCGUCGCCCGCCGGAGUUCCGCCUGACGCCCCUGCCGCCGGUUCACCCUGCCGGGCUCGCUCCCCCACCAACCUGCUGCUGCCAUUUAUUUCAUCCCUACCUCGUGAAGCUACUGUCUUUACUUCCUUCCUCUACUAACUACUACUACUUAUUCUUCCGGGUUGUUACACGGAGAUGGUGGUGGAGGGAGGCGACGACGCGGCGCCGCCGCCGUCGCCGCCGCCAGAGCUGGAGCUGUUCCUCUCCAUAGGGUUGGAUAAGCGCACGGCGGAGAACGCCCUCGUCAAUAACAAGGUCACCGCCAACCUCACCGCCGUUAUCAAAGAGGUAGUCUCCCGAUCAAUCCCCGCUAAUGUUUUCUUACGCUUCCAUUUCUUUCUCGAGUGAUUUCCUAGAUCCUCCCGAUUCGGGAUUCUCAUUGUGUGAGAUUCUCGAUGAUUGAAGUGGAUUUAGGGUUUCUACUCUGCUUAUUUCCUGGUUUCAACUGCUUUGAUUUGGAACUUGCUUGUUUAGUGGAGUUCCAUACUUGUAUUGAUGCGGCUUUUAUGAGGGAAAUUUCGCUUUCAUUAUCUUUCUCUUCUUCUAAUUGAUUUGGUCUGCGAUUCCAAAACUUCUCAUUUUUUUGGGAAUUUACAAUCAAUCAUUUACCCCCUUUUGAGAAGUUUUUUUGGGUUUAAUUUUAAACAAGCUGGUGUUAACGGGUGUAGCAAGGCAAUUGGUAACCUUCUUUACACAGUACUCUCUAUUGCUAUCAUGAGCAAAAACUAUCAGAGGAGUGUAUUCCUUAUGUUGUUUCUGAUAUUUUAUCCUUUUUGAAUCUUGCUAUAGGUAGCAACAAAGCACCCGGCUAAUGCACUCGUCCAUCGCCCAUUUUUAGUUGAUUAUGUAGUCUCCUCAAAGGUUACAUCUCCACAGCUACUUUACAACCAAUAAUCCUUGUUUGCGAAGCUCAAUACAUGCAAUUCUGAAGCAGUCGUCAAGUUUUCAGCUAAUUAUAGUGGAUUUUGGUAGAACUAUAUAUAUAGAGAGAGAGAGUAGGUCUUGUGUGCUAUUAGGAGCACGCCGUGCUCCUAAGCCGUUUUCGAUGAUGGAGCUUCCGAAUCGACGAUUGGCUCCGUUAAACUUGAUCUAGCGUAUUUGAAGUAUCGAGAAAAUAAAUUUUGUGAUUUUUCGAUAUCAUUUACCUAGCGAUCGAAAGGGUUCAAAAUCAAUAAUUUUUAAUGGUUGAUAUAUAUCGUUUGCAAGUUUAACGAUAUAAAAGUAUUCAAAUCAUAUGAAAUUUUGAUAGAAAAUUCUUUAUACUAUUUACUACAAGAUCAAUAUCUCUGAUUUGGAUCUACACCGGCGAUCGGCGAAGCGGUUACGGUGUGGAAAAGUGGGAUUUGCGGCGGUGGGUGUAGGACUCGUGGGUACGAUCAAUGGGAUCUCUGAGAUUGCGAGCGUUGUGACCACGGGGAUCACGGCAGAUCUUCCAAUCUCUAAGGAUCAUAGAGAGAGAUAGGGGUUCCCAACACAGAUUGGAAAGGGAGGGUGACAGGUGGAUCCCCAUAAUCAGGCAAGAGAGCAAACAAUAUCUAAAAAACUGAGAAAUGGACACGUCAUGCAUAGUAAACUCAGCACUUAUGUAUUUACUAGAUUUUAAAGGUUCAAGCUAUUAAAAAAAUAACAACUAAUUUAUCUUAAAGUUACAGACACAAUGCCUAUAGAUCUCAAUUGUGAUUUGAUCCAAUCCAAUAUUUGUCGCAUAGACAGAAUGUUGUUCUAUUCACCGACAUUAACUACAGGUGCUCAGUAUAUAUCCAAUGUGAAUUUCAUGAGUUAUAUUUAAAAAUUGAAUAAAAAUGUAUGGAUAUUAUUAAUAGUAUCGUAAAAUUAUUAUAUAGUACGUGCUUGUUUAAUAGAAAAUUUUUUGUUGUUUUUUCUAAAAUAACUAUUUUAUUCUUUUUCGUGUAACACAAUCUUUCAUUUCAAUAUGAUUAUAUUGGUUAAUAUGAUCAUAAGUU